ACAUCACAAUGGGCAAGUGGCAGAGCCUGACUCCCAGAGUGGUCUGUGGUAGAGACCGAGGGGCCUGUGUGGACCCUGAGCACGUGGGGCAGGGAGAAGUGAAAGGUCACCAGGAGAAUCUGUCCUCUGACUGUUGCCACAGCAGGAUGUUGCCAUUGGGAACAUGCUUGCUCCUUGCUCGGCUUGUUCUGUCCCCAGCAAGGUCCCCUGUCAGUUUCUCUAACCCCAAGAGACUGGCAGCUGAGGCAGUGGUGGGGCGGGUGGGGGGGGUGUCGUUAGAAAGAAGAGGGUUGAGCUGGCCUGUGUGGCAUCUGGCUGCCCCCCAACCCCCCCCCGGGGGGGGCAGGACCUGUGCUCCAGGGACUGCAACAUUUCUACCCCCGCCCUGCCCCCCCCCACAAGAAAGCAGGAAGUUCUGUCUCUCUUGAGUCUGGGGUCUCGGGCCCCAGGUGACCGAGUGCUGGAGGGAUGACAGAGCUCCCCCCUCCCCCGCCGGGUGGCCGGGCCCUGCACCAAGCCUUGUGCCUUGUCUCAGCUUCCGCCCUCCGCCCUCCGUGUGAGGCCCAGGGGCCGAAAAGCACUUGCAUUUCAGACCGCUGUGGACAACACACUGUUGUGUAAGGAGAUCUUCAUGCAGCAAAUAAAGGAGGCUCCAGAAGAAACCAGAGCCGUGGCCGUUCCCAAGCAACCUGCACCCGAUGGGCUCAGCAGAAAGCCAGCGCACUGAAGAGCUGAGGCUGGGGAAGGGCCUUGACCAAGGCCAAGCCUGAGCCCCAUCCCGACAGACAAAUCUGCGUGAGAAACUUUCCCAAGAGCUGUAUAUCAGGUUUCAACCAUGUUCAAGCUGCCUGCCGGCCUUGCCUGUCCCAUCUACGGCCUGGGAGCAGACGGACCUCAACUGUUUCCAGUCCUGCUAAAAGAUGCAGCACUUCUGGAGUAUUCCACCGUUGACUCCUCUGUAGUCCGCACCGAGCGCUUCUGUAGGGGUCAGUUGACAGCUUGAUGCCUCUUUUUCCCAUCUCAGCUAUCACCAAUCACUGAAACCCCUCCACUCCUUUCUUGAAUUCCCCUCCCUUCCAAUUGGCCACAGCUGCUCCGUCACAACUAUCCAGGCCGUCCCUGUGAACGCUCCCGCUCAUCUGCCCGCACCCCUCCCACAACAUGCUCUACUCAUCCUUUUUCAUGGAAAAUUCUUCUGCCCUCGGCUUUCGGAUCCCGUGGCCCUCCAGCCAAGCGGCCUCUACUCUGUACGCUUCCAUGCUGUCUGUGUCCAAGCCUCCCUAGGCUUAGCCUGCCUGCUGCCUGUGUUCAAGCCUUCCUGGGCUUAGCCUGUCUUCCAUUAGAUUCAAACCUCUCCACCAGACCUCUUCCUUCAGCUAACACUUCUUUCAAAAACACCUUCUGCCGGGAAACUUCUGGAAGGGCUUUGUGGUCUGGAGAAGGCCUGCUCACUGGUGCUGUCAUCCCACCGGGCUCGCCUGGAGUCCGAGCCCCGGCCGGCCGCUGAGCUCAGCUCAGCUCUCCAGUGCUCCAUCCUACAACUUUCCCUUUUCCUUUUUAUCACCAAGGCGGCAUGUGCUCAUCCCAGCGUUUAAGGGGAGUCCAGAGUGUGAGUCCCUCUUCUGCUACCCUAAAUUCCAUUCUCUGGGAGGGAGAAGCACCCAGGCAGGGUGUCGUUUCCCCUCUGCACAGACACGGGGGGGGGGGGCGCUGCUGUGUGUGUUGUUCUGUGGUCUGUUUCAAUCUACUUGUCCGAAAAGUUCCAUGUAGGUUGAUACCCGCCUUAUCACUCCAUCAAGACUGCAUUGCACUUCACCGUAUAGGUACAUCGUGCCCAGCCUUUCCCACCACUGCAGCUCAGUUUCUUAAGGCUGCUAUGACUUCUUUGCCCCUGGAGCUGCGCGGUUAGAGCAGUAUUUCUGUGGAAUAAAGUCUCUGAAGUGGAAUGGCUCUUCAGAAUUUUUGAUUCUGUUUAAAUAUCCCACCCAAACACAACAAAAGCUGCCCUGGGUCCUAUGCACCCAACACUGGGGUGCGUAAAUGUGCCUCUGCAUGUGGGGACCUGAUAAUGGGUCCUUUACGGUGGCCUUCAAACUCUGCUUCCACACUACCACUGCACACAGAUGUCUCAUCGCUUUCUCAAGCCUCCCCGCCCCCCACCCCACCCCACCUCUGCAGCCCCGCUGAUCUAGCUCCUUCUGCCCCACUCUGAAGGUUGUUUCCUAAAACCUGCCUGCUCUGACUCCAGUUUCCCCAAGAGCUCAAGGUCCCUUCUGGGUCUCUGACCUCUGCAGCUCAGCCUGGCAAGAGAAAGCAGCCACACAACUUAAAGCUACCCAGUGACGGAGGCUGCCAAGGCUGAGGGUACAGAAGACAAGAGCCUUUUCAUUCAUGCAUUCUACAAAUAUUUAUUGAGUACCUAGUGAGUGCCAUCAAGGCUGCUGUUCCCAACCAGGUUGAGUCAGCCUUGGAAGGGAGAGGCAAGCACUGAUGAGGUCUCCCUGGCUUCAGGGAGAUGCCUGGCUUCGGGCUACACUGAUCUUCAUAACACAGUGCCUUCUAACAGUCAUUAGCACUAAAUACAACCUUGAAGACAGCAUCAUUGCAUCCCUUCUCUAGCUAAGGCUGCUGGCUCCUUGCUUGACUAUCCUUGAACAACUUGCAAGAGUCAUUCCCAUGACUAAGGGAGGUGUUGUAUCAACACUAACAAUAGCCUUUUUGUGGACUUUUUUCAUCUGUACAUGAAGCUCAGAGCUGUAUUGGACCCUUUCAUACUGCUAACUGUGGGGAUGUAGUUCUAGCCACAGGAAAACCAGCACCAUAGCCCCCCGCCGAUGCUCAACUCAGCUCUAGACACACAAAUCUUGUUGUAAAGGUGGCUCUUGCAGUUAUGGACUAUGUGGUUGGAAGACCACAACAGGAAGAUUUAAUGUGUUAUACCCAACUGCUAAACCAGGACAUCAACCACCUCCAACUGACCUGGGCUCAGCUUUAACAGAAGGGUUUCAUCAUGCUGCUCAGCAGCUCGCCCGCCACAGUUUGGACAUCAGAAGGCUGUCGGUGCUCUUGACGCAGACGGUGACAGCAGUGUCAGACCAACAGGAAAGACGUUCAUUAGUCCACUCCGCUCUGCGGCUCUGUGUGCUACGAUGACCUCUAACAGUGGCGCCAAGGCUGCUGCCUUCCAGCUUGUGACCUUGGAGUUAAGGGAGAAGCAUGGAUCAGACUUUCCUUAUCUCAAAGCACUCAGGCUUGAGGGGCCACCAUGUGAUUGCACCCGGAAACUUUCCUAAUCUUCACAAAGUUGCAAAUAUGAGGAAGUGAAGAGCUGACGGGACGUUAUGAAUUAUAGGUAGGGACACUGAGGAUGUGCCUUGGCAACCACGGAUAGAGAAGAAAGAUCUGUCAGGGCUAGAUGCUGUUGGAAUCAAGGAACUGUUUCCUGCCACUGAUCCAGGACCUUCAAGCUGUUCCAGAGGCACCAUCUCCCCAGGACAAGCCUUCUUCAAACUCAGAGGCAUUGAGAACGCAUGUUAACAUAUUAAAAACAAACAAAAAAACCCCAGUGUCCCUUGCAUGUCCCCUGACCCCAGCUGCCUGACCUGGAGGGCCAGAGAGUACCCACCCCCAGGGAAUGUCAUUGGAACAGUGUUCUGAAUGAUGGCCAGGUUGUGAUGAAGCAGGGUGGGGAUCGCACUCCACAGUGGAACACAAGACUGAGCCAGGAGGGAGGGGCAUCCAAAUUUGAGAAUAAAGUUUGCUGCUCAGCUGAGGCCUGGAUGAGGCCAUUGGAUAGCCAAGCAGGUGGAAUGGAUGUGUGUUUUAUGUAAUUCCUGCUCUUGACUUUGUCUGCAUGCCUAGCCAUGGAAAAUAAUAAAAGCAAAAACACUU